rnacentral:rRNA from 1 species
AUCCUACGGGACGCAGCAGUAGGGAAUCUUCCACAAUGGACGAAAGUCUGAUGGAGCAACGCCGCGUGAGUGAAGAAGGGUUUCGGCUCGUAAAGCUCUGUUGGUAGUGGAGAAAGAUAGAGGUAGUAACUGGCCUUUAUUUUACGGUAAUUACUUAGAAAGUCACGGCUAACUACGUGCCAGCAGCCGCGGUAAUAAGUAGGUGGCAAGCGGUGUCCGGAGUUAUUUGGCGUAAAA